AUGGUGGAGGUGAUCAGCAAGAGGCCAGGCCCCUCCCUCUCCCAGCAGAGCCACACCCUCCUUCUACGUAGGCACGUCCCCUGUCCCUCCCCCUGCCUCGUUACCACGGUGAACGACCACCGCUCCCACAUGAUCCCGCUGCCUCUUCCUCCUCCUCAUCUUCCUCUCACGCAAACCACACCUCUCUUCUCCUCCUUUGGCUAUCCUCCACUCGUCCUCUCUCCUCCUCCUCCUCACCUCUCCACUCUCCCCCUGGGCCUCUCCACUCCUCCUCGUCCUCCUCCUCUUCCUCCUCUCUCCUCUCCUCCUCUCUCUACAAGUCUGGAGCAGCCAAGCCUGCCAGGUAUCCGGGCUAAAACUCUUAGCUUGUAAUAAAUCAUAUAAAUCAAUACAAACCAUUUUUUUCUCUCAAUGUAAUCAAUACUAUGAUCAGUACAUCAUAUUACUGUAGUAUUACUGUAGUAUUACUAUAGUAUUACUGUAGUAUUACUGUAGUAGUGUGUCCCAUCACUGUGGGUAGCAGUAGUAUUUAUCAAUAGUCGUAGUAUUUAUUAUCAGUAGUAUUUAUCAACAGUCGUAGUAUUUACUAUCAGUAGUAUUUAGCAAUAGUCGUAGUAUUUAUUAUCAGUAGUAUUUAUCAAUAGUCGUAGUAUUUAUUAUCAGUAGUAUUUAUCAAUAGUCGUAGUAUUUAUUAUCAGUAGUAUUUAUCAAUAGUCGUAGUAUUUAUUAUCAGUAGUAUUUAUCAAUAGUCGUAGUAUUUAUCAUCAGUAGUAUUUAUCAAUAGUCGUAGUAUUUAUGAUCAGUAGUAUUUAUCAAUAGUCGUAGUAUUUAUUAGCAGUAGUAUUUAUCAAUAGUCGUGGUAUUUAUUAUCAGUAGUAUUUAUCAAUAGUCGUAGUAUUUAUUAGCAGUAGUAUUUAUCAACAGUCGUAGUAUUUAUUAUCAGUAGUAUUUAUCAACAGUCGUAGUAUUUACUAUCAGUAGUAUUUAGCAAUAGUCGUAGUAUUUAUUAUCAGUAGUAUUUAUCAAUAGUCGUAGUAUUUAUUAUCAGUUGUAUUUAUCAAUAGUCGUAGUAUUUAUUAUCAGUAGUAUUUAUCAACAGUCGUAGUAUUUAUUAUCAGUAGUAUUUAUCAAUAGUCGUAGUAUUUAUUAUCAGUAGUAUUUAUCAACAGUCGUAGUAUUUAUUAUCAGUAGUAUUUAUCAAUAGUCGUAGUAUUUAUUAUCAGUAGUUUGUAUCAACAGUCAUAGUAUUUAUUAUCAGUAGUAUUUAUCAACAGUCGUAGUAUUUAUUAUCAGUAGUAUUUAUCAAUAGUCGUAGUAUUUAUUAUCAGUAGUAUUUAUCAAUAGUCGUGGUAUUUAUUAGCAGUAGUAUUUAUCAAUAGUCGUGGUAUUUAUUAUCAGUAGUAUUUAUCAAUAGUCGUGGUAUUUAUUAGCAGUAGUAUUUAUCAAUAGUCGUAGUAUUUAUUAUCAGUAGUAUUUAUCAACAGUCGUAGUAUUUAUUAUCAGUAGUAUUUAUCAAUAGUCGUGGUAUUUAUUAUCAGUAGUUUGUAUCAACAGUCAUAGUAUUUAUUAUCAGUAGUAUUUAUCAAUAGUCGUGGUAUUUAUUAGCAGUAGUAUUUAUCAAUAGUCGUGGUAUUUAUUAUCAGUAGUAUUGUUAAUAACCAGAACAGUGGUUUGUAUCAGCGUUGUUAGUGUUGACCAUUCUGUUGUUGUUAUUGUUAUUGUUGUUUUGGUAUUGACACUAGUUCUAGGUGUAAUAGUGGUGUAAUUGUGGUGUAUUGUUAGUGUGUUAUAGUUUCGGUCUAGGUAUUAUAGAUUGAGUACGCAUCGGCUUGUGCUGCUCGCUCACGUGUCUCCAAUCUCCGUCUCUGUCUGCCAAUCUAUCUUGUCCUAUUUCUAUGUAUCACGAAGUGUACUGAUAUUUAGGACUUUGUGUGGGGUGGUGUGUAGAUGGGGUAAGGUGGGGUUGAAUGGUGGUGUGUAGGUGGGGUUGUAUGGUGGUGUGUAGGUGGUGUUGUAUGGUGUGUAGGUGGGGUAAGGUGGGUUUGUAUGGUGGUGUGUAGGUGGGGUUGUGUGGUGGGGUGUAGGUGGGGUUGUGUGGUGGUGAGUAGAUGGGGUAAGGUGGGAUUGUAUGGUGGUGUGUAGGUGGAGUAGUAUGGUGGUGUGUAGGUGGGGUUGUAUGGUUGGGUGUAGGUGGGGUAAGGUGGGGUUGUAUGGUGGGGUGUAGGUGGGGUAAGGUGGGAUUGUAUGGUGGUGUGUAGGUGGGGUUGUAUGGUGUGUAGGUGGGGUAAGGUGGGAUUGUAGGUGGUGUGUAGGUGGGGUUGUAUGGUGGUGUGUAGGUGGGGUUGUAUGGUGGUGUGUAGGUGGGGUUGUAUGGUGGUGUGUAGAUGGGGUUGUAUGGUGGUGUGUAGAUGGGGUUGUAUGGUGGUGUGUAGGUGGGGUAAGGUGGGGUUGUAGGUGGUGUGUAGGUGGGGUAAGGUGGGGUUGCAUGGUGGGUGUAGGUGGUGUGUAGGGUAAAGGGAUAAUAAGGGGUAGUGUAUCAGCAGGGUUAAGGGGUAAUAAGGGGUGAUGUGUCAGCAGGGUAAAUUGGUAAUAAUGGGUAGUGUGUCAGCAGGGUAAAGGGGUAAUAAGGGGUAGUGUGUCAGCAGGGUAAAUGGGUAAUAAGGGGUAGUGUGUCAGCAGGGUAAAGGGGUAAUAAGGGGUAGGGUGUCAGCAGGGUAAAGGGGUAAUAAGGGGUAAUAAGGGGUAGUGUGUUAGCAGGGUAAAUUGGUAAUAAGGGGUAGUGUGUCAGCAGGGUAAAGUGGGAAUAAGGGGUAGUGUGUCAGCAGGGUAAAGGGGUAAUAAGGGGUAGUGUGUCAGCAGGGUAAAGGGGUAAUAAGGGGUAGUGUGUUAACAGGGUAAAGGGCUAAACAGGGGUAAUAAGGGGUAGUGUGUCAGCAGGGUAAAGUGGUAAUAAGGGGUAGGGUGUCAGCAGGGUAAAGGGGUAAUAAGGGGUAGUGUGUCAGCAGGGUAAAGGGGUAAUAAGGGGUAGUGUAUCAGCAGGGUAAAGGGGUAAUAAGGGGUAGUGUGUCAGCCGGGUAAAGGGGUAAUAAGGGGUAGUGUGAGGGUAAAGGGGUAAUAAGGGGUAAUGUGAGGGUAAAGGGUAAUAAGGGGUAGUGUGAGGGUAAAUGGGUAAUAAGGGUUAGUGUGUCAGCAGGGUAAAGUGGAGAUAAAGGGGUUGAUCGCAGUGUCUUUGUUUGUUUGUGUUUGUGUGUUUGUGUUUGUGUGUGUGUCUUUGUGUGUGUGUGUGUGUGUGUGUGUGUGUGUGUGUGUGUGUGUGUGUGUGUGUGUGUGUGUGUGUGUGUGUGUGUGUGUAUCAGGUUCUCGGGGCUCUGAGUCCAGUCCCCACGGGUCUCCCACACUCGGCCAGCAGGGCGGCGCCAGCGAGGAUGUCUGGGUUCUCCGGAAGCCCCUCGCAGGUACGAGGGUGUGUUGUUGUGUUGGUGUAUUGGUGUGAGUGUGCUUGUGUACUGUUGUAUGUAUUAUUAAUUAAUAUAGUUAAUAAU
rnacentral:lncRNA from 8 species